rnacentral:lncRNA from 1 species
CGCCUACUAACGGCCCGCCUCUCCGCUCCCGAGUGCAGGCUUCCUGGGUCACCGUCCGUCUCUCCCCUCCCGAGUGCAGGCUUCCUGGGUCACCGUCCGCCUCUCCCCUCCCGAGUGCAGACUUCCUGUGUCACCGUCCUCCUCUCCCCUCCCGAGUGCAGACUUCCUGUGUCACCGUCCGCCUCUCCCCUCCCGAGUGCAGGCUUCCUGGGUCACCGUCCGUCUCUCCCCUCCCGAGUGCAGGCUUCCUGGGUCACCGUCCUCCUCUCCCCUCCCCAGUGCAGACUUCCUGGGUCACCGUCCGCCUCAACCCUCCCGAGUGCAGGCUUCCUGGGGCACCGUCCGCCUCUCCCCUCCCGAGUGCGGACUUCCCGGGGCAGAGCUUCGCCUGCUUCCUGCAAUUGUGUCCAGGGCGCGGGAAGCUGCCCAGCACAGGGCCCAUCCUCUCCCUGUAGAGCUCCAGUGAAGACCCCUCUCCAGGAGCCCCUAACCCCAGUUCCAGAUAAACCUUCUGUUUUUCCUAAAACUGUCAGAACCCAGUUCUGGUGCGGAGGUAUCAGCGUAGAUGGAGAAGAGACUUUCGUGCCUCUGACCCUCAAAUUACCCAGCUCUCGGCUCUGCGUGGAUUGGCGUGCCCGUUUACCUGCGAGGCCAGGUUCACAUUUGGGAAGAAGAGAUUUUCUCCCUCCGCAGCAGCAGCGCAGCCUGCACGAGGUUGCUGGGGGAAAUAGACCGCUCUGUCUUUGGGGUCUUGACGGGUAGAGUGGUUUGCCAGAGAACCACCGAAGAGCCUUCCAGCGACUUCUAAGAGUGGGCACUUACUCAGAAAUCUCUCCUCAGAGCCUGGCACAGGUUUUGGUAUCAGCGGGGCCACGACAAAUGUUCACUGAAUGAAUAAAUGAAUGACAUGGGAUGUAGGAAACAUGAAAUAAAAUGAACUGAGAAGAUUUGCAGGGACUGGUUAUUUUGUCCAUCUCCAAACGCAGAGGAAACACCCUGACUCCCCCUGGGCCACCUACAGGGGCCAAUGGCAGUCAGUCCCCUGUGCUGAAGUGCCGGCUGUUUUCUAAGAGGCUGAAGGAGGGUAUUUAUAGUUCAUGGGUAACAAGGAGAAACCACCUCUGGAGAUCUCCUCCUCUCUCAGAAAUCUUUGUGAUGAUAUGAAGAGGGAUGGUGUUUUGGGCCCGUGAUGGGUGACGCCACCCCAGAUUUGCAGAUGAGACCCUUUUAUGGGACAGGUGGGCACUGGUCAAAUGGCAUUUAUAAAGAAUCUGGCCAAUAAUAUCUUUUUUUUUUGGCUCCUGGUUUUCAUUACCACUCAGCAUUUCCCACCUUUCCAGCUGAAGUUCAAUCAAUUAGCAGGGUCUCUAGCAGGGUCCCCGGCCUGAUGCCUGGGGUCCCUAUGCCUCUCAGCUUCCCGGGAAGUGGCUAAUGAGUGCUGACAUACAAGAGGGGGAGUGUGACAGAUGCUCUGUGGGGGUCGUCCUGCUGUGUGAUGAUCACGCCCUGAGACGGAUUCGUAAACGUGGUCUUUCCUACGUCCAGGGUUUUUGUAAUAUUAUUUGAAGGAUGCACCAGCUUGUCACUGAGUGUGCCAGGGAACCACUGACCAGAGAAGUUUAUUUGUGCUGUGUCAUUAGGACUAUGAGUAAUAAUAACAACAAUAAUAAUGAAACAAAGGGAAGAAAACCCGGCAGGGGGCUGCCCUUGAGAGUGCCCUGAGGGACACACAGGAGGCCCUGG